UACAGAGGGUGCGAGCGUUAAUCGGAAUUACUGGGCGUAAAGCGCGCGUAGGCGGCUUUGCAAGUCGGGUGUGAAAUCCCCAGGCUUAACCUGGGAACUGCAUUCGAGACUGCAUUGCUAGAGUAUGGAGAGGGAAGUGGAAUUUCCGGUGUAGCGGUGAAAUGCGUAGAUAUCGGAAGGAACAUCAGUGGCGAAAGCGACUUCCUGGACCAAUACUGACGCUCAUGUGCGAAGCGUGGGAGCAAACAGG
rnacentral:rRNA from 1 species